UACGGGGGGUGCGAGCGUUGUCCGGAAUCACUGGGCGUAAAGGGCGCGUAGGUGGUUUGAUAAGGGUGUGGUGAAAGUCCGGAGCUCAACUCCGGAUCUGCCGUGCCGACUGUCAAACUCGAGGGCUGUAGAGGCAGACGGAAUUCCGGGUGUAGCGGUGGAAUGCGUAGAUAUCGGGAGGAACACCAGUGGCGAAGGCGAUCACCUGGGGUUGUUCUGACGCUGAGGAGCGAAAGCUAGGGGAGCAAACGGG
rnacentral:rRNA from 1 species